rnacentral:rRNA from 1 species
CUUAAUUUUUUUUGUUCUGCUCAGAUUGAACGCUGGCGGCAGGCCUAACACAUGCAAGUCGAGCGGAUGAGGGGAGCUUGCUCCUUGAUUCAGCGGCGGACGGGUGAGUAAUGCCUAGGAAUCUGCCUGGUAGUGGGGGAUAACGUUCCGAAAGGAACGCUAAUACCGCAUACGUCCUACGGGAGAAAGCAGGGGACCUUCGGGCCUUGCGCUAUCAGAUGAGCCUAGGUCGGAUUAGCUAGUUGGUGAGGUAAUGGCUCACCAAGGCGACGAUCCGUAACUGGUCUGAGAGGAUGAUCAGUCACACUGGAACUGAGACACGGUCCAGACUCCUACGGGAGGCAGCAGUGGGGAAUAUUGGACAAUGGGCGAAAGCCUGAUCCAGCCAUGCCGCGUGUGUGAAGAAGGUCUUCGGAUUGUAAAGCACUUUAAGUUGGGAGGAAGGGCAGUAAGUUAAUACCUUGCUGUUUUGACGUUACCAACAGAAUAAGCACCGGCUACUCGCAGCGUAUCCG